GACGUAGGGCGCGAGCGUUGUCCGGAAUUACUGGGCGUAAAGAGCUCGUAGGUGGUUUGUCGCGUUGUCCGUGAAAACUCACAGCUCAACUGUGGGCGUGCGGGCGAUACGGGCAGACUGGAGUACUGUAGGGGAGACUGGAAUUCCUGGUGUAGCGGUGGAAUGCGCAGAUAUCAGGAGGAACACCGGUGGCGAAGGCGGGUCUCUGGGCAGUAACUGACGCUGAGGAGCGAAAGCGUGGGGAGCGAACAGG
rnacentral:rRNA from 1 species